AUAGCUCACUGGUCGAGUCGGCCUGCGCGGAAGAUGUAACGGGGCUAAACCAUGCACCGAAGCUGCGGCAGCGACACUGUGUGUUGUUGGGUAGGGGAGCGUUCUGUAAGCCUGUGAAGGUGUGUCGUGAGGCAUGCUGGAGGUAUCAGAAGUGCGAAUGCUGACAUAAGUAACGAUAAAGCGGGUGAAAAGCCCGCUCGCCGGAAGACCAAGGGUUCCUGUCCAACGUUAAUCGGGGCAGGGUGAGUCGACCCCUAAGGCGAGGCCGAAAGGCGUAGUCGAUGGGAAACGGGUUAAUAUUCCCGUACUUGGUGUUACUGCGAAGGGGGGACGGAGAAGGCUAUGUUGGCCGGGCGACGGUUGUCCCGGUUUAAGCGUGUAGGUGUGUGUUCCAGGUAAAUCCGGUUCACUUUAACACUGAGGCGUGACGACGAGGCACUACGGUGCUGAAGCAACAAAUGCCCUGCUUCCAGGAAAAGCCUCUAAGCAUCAGGUAACAUCAAAUCGUACCCCAAACCGACACAGGUGGUCAGGUAGAGAAUACCAAGGCGCUUGAGAGAACUCGGGUGAAGGAACUAGGCAAAAUGGUGCCGUAACUUCGGGAGAAGGCACGCUGACACGUAGGUGAAGUGAUUUACUCAUGGAGCUGAAGUCAGUCGAAGAUACCAGCUGGCUGCAACUGUUUAUUAAAAACACAGCACUGUGCAAACACGAAAGUGGACGUAUACGGUGUGACGCCUGCCCGGUGCCGGAAGGUUAAUUGAUGGGGUCAGCGCAAGCGAAGCUCCUGAUCGAAGCCCCGGUAAACGGCGGCCGUAACUAUAACGGUCCUAAGGUAGCGAAAUUCCUUGUCGGGUAAGUUCCGACCUGCACGAAUGGCGUAAUGAUGGCCAGGCUGUCUCCACCCGAGACUCAGUGAAAUUGAACUCGCUGUGAAGAUGCAGUGUACCCGCGGCAAGACGGAAAGACCCCGUGAACCUUUACUAUAGCUUGACACUGAACAUUGAGCCUUGAUGUGUAGGAUAGGUGGGAGGCUUUGAAGUGUGGACGCCAGUCUGCAUGGAGCCGACCUUGAAAUACCACCCUUUAAUGUUUGAUGUUCUAACGUGGACCCGUUACCCGGGUUGCGGACAGUGUCUGGUGGGUAGUUUGACUGGGGCGGUCUCCUCCUAAAGAGUAACGGAGGAGCACGAAGGUUGGCUAAUCCUGGUCGGACAUCAGGAGGUUAGUGCAAUGGCAUAAGCCAGCUUGACUGCGAGCGUGACGGCGCGAGCAGGUGCGAAAGCAGGUCAUAGUGAUCCGGUGGUUCUGAAUGGAAGGGCCAUCGCUCAACGGAUAAAAGGUACUCCGGGGAUAACAGGCUGAUACCGCCCAAGAGUUCAUAUCGACGGCGGUGUUUGGCACCUCGAUGUCGGCUCAUCACAUCCUGGGGCUGAAGUAGGUCCCAAGGGUAUGGCUGUUCGCCAUUUAAAGUGGUACGCGAGCUGGGUUUAGAACGUCGUGAGACAGUUCGGUCCCUAUCUGCCGUGGGCGCUGGAGAACUGAGGGGGGCUGCUCCUAGUACGAGAGGACCGGAGUGGACGCAUCACUGGUGUUCGGGUUGUCAUGCCAAUGGCACUGCCCGGUAGCUAAAUGCGGAAGAGAUAAGUGCUGAAAGCAUCUAAGCACGAAACUUGCCCCGA
rnacentral:rRNA from 2 species